UAAGGUCACGGCGACACGAGCCGUUUAUCAUUACGAUAGGUGUCAAGUGGAAGUGCAGUGACGUAUGCAGCUGAGGCAUCCUAACAGACCGAGAGAUUUGAAC
rnacentral:rRNA from 1 species